rnacentral:rRNA from 1 species
GACGAACGCUGGCGGCGGGCUUAACACAUGCAAGUCGAACGGAAAGGCCCUGCUUUUUUGGGGUUCUCGAGUGGCGAACGGGUGAGUAACACGGGAGUAACCUUCCCUUUACGUUGUGAUAACUUCAGGCAACUGGUGCUAAUACCUGCGAGGAGCGGCUGCUGCAUGGGGGGGGUUGGAAAGCAUAGGCGGUUUGGGAUGGACGCGCGGGUUAUCAGCUUGUUGGUUGGGUAGUUGCUUACCAAGGCUUUGGAGGGUAGCCGGCCUGGGAGGGUGGACGGCCACCUUGGGACUGAGAUACGGCACAGACUCGUACGGGAGGCAGCAGUGGGGAAUAUUGCACAAUGGGCGGAAGCGUGAUGCAGAAACGCCGCGUGCGGGAUGCCGGCCUUCGGGUUGUAAACCGCUUUCGCCUGUGACGAAGCGUGAGUGACGGUAAUGGGUAAAGAAGCACCGGCUAACUACGUG